GUAAGGCAAAUAGAAAUUUAUGAUGGGUUAUUUGGUCGGAUUUUAUGGAUUAUAGCAGAUGAAUGAUGGUGUUUUUUUGUUUUUAUUCUCUUUUUUUUUCUAAUGUGGAGGAAAAAACAGUGAAAACUGUGGUAUAAUUAAUCGGUGGUUCAUUUGCGUUGCUUUUUAGUUUUUACGUUUAUGGUUAGCAAGUCAUUCGAAUUGCAUUGUUUUAUUAGAUUGACAUACACACGUAUGCAUAUGUAAAUUGAUAUGCCGAUC
rnacentral:lncRNA from 1 species